GUAGUCGCCCUCCGUCGUGGCCUGGCGUGGAUUCCGAGCGUUGGUGUCUGGCGGUUUCCGACCGUUGGUGUCUGGCACGCGCCACCCCGAUGUACCAGGUAAAGCCCUAUCACGGGGUCGGCGCCCCUCUCCGUGUGGAGCCCACCUGCAUGUACUGGCUCCCCAACAUGCACGGCAGGAGCGGCGGCCCAGCACUCGGCACUGGCCACUUGCAGACAAGAAGACAAGAAAAUGAUUUGAGGACAGCUUCAAUCGCGGUGUGAAGAAGAAAGCAACAAAACGACCACUGAAAACAAUGCCGGUGGCAAAACAUCCAAAGAAAGGGUCCCAAGUGGUACAUCGUCAUAGCUGGAAACAGUCAGAGCCACCAGCCAAUGAUCUUUUCAAUGCUGCGAAAGCUGCCAAAAGUGACAUGCAGUGUGGCCAUGAGGUCUGCCGGAAGUGACUUGUUGGUGUUAUCUCCUGAGUUAAAAUGUGAAGGGAUUUUUUUUUUUCAGAUUACUGAGAGUCUUCAGUUACUAGAGGCGGAUUUCCCUGACUGAAGACCAUGUUGCAGGCCCACAGCUGCCUACAGAACCGUCCCAAAAUAUGGCAAAGAAACCUAUUCUGAGCGAUAGGGUCUCACCAUGUUGCCCAGGCUGGUCUUGAACUCCUGGACUCAUCCUAAAGUGCUGGCCUCUCAUUCCCUGUCUGUGCACACCUCACGGCAAGGGCCAGCCUGUUUCCUCCCGGUCACCUCCAAAUCUUGCUGCUUUUAAUUCAACUCAGAGGCCUAGCCAGGGUUGAGUUCUCACCCACCUGUGCCGCCCUGCCUUGUUA
rnacentral:lncRNA from 1 species